UGCAGUCGAGCGGGCGUAGCAAUACGUCAGCGGCAGACGGGUGAGUAACGCGUGGGAACGUACCUUUUGGUUCGGAACAACACAGGGAAACUUGUGCUAAUACCGGAUAAGCCCUUACGGGGAAAGAUUUAUCGCCGAAAGAUCGGCCCGCGUCUGAUUAGCUAGUUGGUAGGGUAAUGGCCUACCAAGGCGACGAUCAGUAGCUGGUCUGAGAGGAUGAUCAGCCACAUUGGGACUGAGACACGGCCCAAACUCCUACGGGAGGCAGCAGUGGGGAAUAUUGGACAAUGGGGGCAACCCUGAUCCAGCCAUGCCGCGUGAGUGAUGAAGGCCCUAGGGUUGUAAAGCUCUUUUGUGCGGGAAGAUAAUGACGGUACCGCAAGAAUAAGCCCCGGCUAACUUCGUGCCAGCAGCCGCGGUAAUACGAAGGGGGCUAGCGUUGCUCGGAAUCACUGGGCGUAAAGGGUGCGUAGGCGGGUCUUUAAGUCAGGGGUGAAAUCCUGGAGCUCAACUCCAGAACUGCCUUUGAUACUGAAGAUCUUGAGUUCGGGAGAGGUGAGUGGAACUGCGAGUGUAGAGGUGAAAUUCGUAGAUAUUCGCAAGAACACCAGUGGCGAAGGCGGCUCACUGGCCCGAUACUGACGCUGAGGCACGAAAGCGUGGGGAGCAAACAGGAUUAGAUACCCUGGUAGUCCACGCC
rnacentral:rRNA from 1 species